GUCGAGGGGCAGCGGGGGUGCAGGCUUGCCUGCACCUGCCGGCGACCGGCGCACGGGUGAGUAACACGUAUGGAACCUGCCCGCCACAGGGGGAUAACCCGGGGAAACCCGGCCUAAUACCCCAUGCCGCCCGGACCGGGCAUCCGGACCGGGCGAAAGGAGGAAUCCGGUGGCGGCUGGGCAUGCGGCGCAUUAGCUUGACGGCGGGGUAACGGCCCACCGUGGCGACGAUGCGUAGGGGUUCUGAGAGGAAGGCCCCCCACACUGGAACUGAGACACGGUCCAGACUCCUACGGGAGGCAGCAGUGAGGAAUAUUGGUCAAUGGGCGGAAGCCUGAACCAGCCAAGUCGCGUGAGGGAAUAAGGCCCUACGGGUCGUAAACCUCUUUUGCCGGGGAGCAAUGGCCGGGACGUGUCCCGGUCCGGAGAGUACCCGGAGAAAAAGCAUCGGCUAACUCCGUGCCAGCAGCCGCGGUAAUACGGAGGAUGCGAGCGUUAUCCGGAUUUAUUGGGUUUAAAGGGUGCGUAGGCGGGCUUUUAAGUCAGCGGUAAAAAUUCGGGGCUCAACCCCGUCCGGCCGUUGAAACUGGGGGCCUUGAGUGGGCGAGAAGAAGGCGGAAUGCGUGGUGUAGCGGUGAAAUGCGUAGAUAUCACGCAGAACCCCGAUUGCGAAGGCAGCCUUCCGGCGCCCUACUGACGCUGAGGCACGAAAGUGCGGGGAUCGAACAGGAUUAGAUACCCUGGUAGUCCG
rnacentral:rRNA from 1 species